UAACGGCCUACCAAGGCGACAAUCAGUAGCUGGUGUGAGAGGACGACCAGCCACACUGGGAGUGAGACACGGCCCAGACUCCUACGGGAGGCAGCAGUGGGGAAUAUUGGUCAAUGGGGGCAACCCUGAUCCAGCGACGCCGCGUGUGUGAAGAAGGCCUGCGGGUUGUAAAGCACUUUUAGUGGGGAUGAAAAGCUCAGGGUUAACACCCCUGGGUCUUGACCUAACCCACAGAAAAAGCACCGGCUAACUCUGUGCCAGCAGCCGCGGUAAUACAGAGGGUGCAAGCGUUAAUCGGAAUUACUGGGCGUAAAGCGGGGGUAGACGGUUACAUAAGUCGGGUGUGAAAGCCCCGGGCUUAACCCCGAGCUUGCAGUGGAUACGGGCAGACUAGAGGUAGGUAGGGGAGAAUGGAAUUCCCGGUGUAGCGGUGAAAUG
rnacentral:rRNA from 1 species